rnacentral:lncRNA from 1 species
UGGAUCAACUAACUACAUGUAGCAUAGACAGUAUAAAAAUAAAUACAGAUUGAUAAACAGAGAUUACUAUGUUACAUUUUUCUUCCUAAAAGGAAGUAAUAAAAGUAUAAAUAUACACAGGUACUUAUAUGAAGCUUACUGCACAAUUUUCAUAAAAGUUUCUAAUCUAUCAUCUUCAACAACAUUUAUCUUCAAAUUGGCAAUCUCACUCUCAAAAUCCAUCCACAUAUACGACGUCUCUUCAUCACAUAUCACUUCGUCCAACUGCGACAAUUCAGUUGUGGACAAUGGCAAUUCCUGUAGUUUCGUGCAGCUAUGCAGAUUCAAGCUUUCAAGACUGGACAAACCCCCCAACUCUUUAGGAAGAGCAUCAAGCUCAUGACAGUUGGUGAUGCUUAGCUUCUGGAGAUGAGCUAGAUUACAAAUCCAUGAUGGCAGCUCUUUGAGAUCAUAGCACAUAUCGAAUUCGAGAUGCGUGAGAUUCAGUAGCAUGUUAUAAGUGGUAAAACACUUCAAAGAAUCACCAAUCUCACACAUAACAAAAGAAAGCUGUUUCAGAUUCUUCAAUGCAAAGAUGGGCUGAAGAGAGGGAACCGACACAUGCUCGAAUCUAAUAGUUGUUAGAUCGGGUAAAGACGCUAUGGAUGAAAGAUUAUGCAGCUUAGAAGGAUGAUCACAAUUCCCUUUUAUAGUUAAAGCCUUAAGUUGGUCCAUUCUGUUAAUGGACUCUGGUAGCGAGUAAUUUUGACUCGUUGCCUCCAAAGUCAACUCUUCAAGAUUCCGGUUGAAGCCAACAGUGGUAGAAGCUGGAAGCACUUUGUCUUCUAAAUCAUCAGCUUUC